CAGAUUCUGACUUCUCUGUUGUUGCUAAGAUUUUGACUUCCAACAGCAGAAUUGAGUCUGGGACUUCCCAUGAAUGUUUUAGGCCUAUGUCUUAUCUUUCUAGC
rnacentral:pre_miRNA from 1 species